rnacentral:misc_RNA from 1 species
GAUGAAGAACGUAGCGAAAUGCGAAAAGUAAUGUGAAUUGCAGAAUUCAGUGAAUCAUCGAAUCUUUGAACGCACAUUGCGCCCCCUGGUAUUCCGGGGGGCAUGCCUGUCCGAGCGUCAUUGCUGCCCUCAAGCACGGCUUGUGUGUUGGGCCUCCGUCCUCCUCCCGGGGGACGGGCCCGAAAGGCAGCGGCGGCACCGCGUCCGGUCCUCGAGCGUAUGGGGCUUCGUCACCCGCUCUUGUAGGCCCGGCCGGCGCUUGCCGACACAUCAAUCUUUUUUCCAGGUUGACCUCGGAUCAGGUAGGGAUACCCGCUGAACUUAAGCAUAUCAAUAAGCGGAGGA